rnacentral:tRNA from 1 species
CAUUAGAUGGCUGAAAGCAAGCACUGGUCUCUUAAACCAUAAAAUAGUAAAAUAGCCCUUACUUCUAAUG